AGAAUCAACGCUGGCGGCGUGCCUAACACAUGCAAGUCGAACGCGAAAGGGGAGCAAUCCCUGAGUAGAGUGGCGAACGGGUGAGUAACACGUGGGUGACCUGCCUUCGAGUGGGGGAUAACGUUCCGAAAGGAACGCUAAUACCGCAUGACAUCCUGCUUUUGGAAAAGCGGAGAUCAAAGCUGGGGAUUCGCAAGAACCUAGCGCUUGAAGAGGGGCCCGCGCCUGAUUAGCUAGUUGGUGAGGUAACGGCUCACCAAGGCUACGAUC
rnacentral:rRNA from 1 species